rnacentral:rRNA from 1 species
UACGUAGGGAGCAAGCGUUGUCCGGAAUCAUUGGGUGUAAAGCGCGCGUAGGCGGCCCGGUAAGUCCGUUGUAAAAGUCGAAGGCUCAACCUUCGAAAGCCGAUGGAUACUGCCGGGCUAGAGUUCGGAAGAGGCGAGUGGAAUUCCUGGUGUAGCGGUGGAAUGCGCAGAUAUCAGGAGGAACACCCGUAGCGAAGGCGGCACUCUGGGCCGGAACUGACGCUGAGGCACGAAAGCGUGGGUAGCGAACCGG